AAACUCACCAGCAAUUAAUAGGGCCCUGUUUGGAUUCACAAAAGGAACCAAAAAGGAAAAAGGUGGACGCAGAGCACCUGUACCCCCCUUUCCCCAAGACAACCGGGCGCCAGCUGGAGGAACGGGAAGGGACGGAAGGGAAAUGGCUAGGUCACCGAGUCAAUUUCCAAAUACGAGCAACAGAAACACCAACUGGAAGUGCAUUAAGCAAUAAAAGUAGCCAAGCUCGGAUGUCUCCAAGGGUGAAAAGUCAGCAGCUCAGCGAUACUACGGAAGACCCCGGCUCCUUUCCGUCCUCAGCCCCGCCCGCUUCGCCCCCAGGACGGCUGCCUCAGUUCCAGCGGCGGACCGGCAGCAACCGGUGAUAACAGCAGUGAAACACCGCCCCGAAGCUCCCCAGAACCCUUCACUCGUUUCUCGCUGGACGGAAUCACCUUGCGUGGUGCCGCCUAAACCGGUCACAGGCGAGGGGGACAGAGCUGCCAACGUUGGCUGAGUCUCACGGAUCAGCAGCCUGAGCUGACUGGGACAGGCACACUCGCUUCACUAGAAGACAACACACGGGCAAUGGGAACGCAGGAGACGUGAUGCGUCCAGCACCAGGUGAGAUCCCACACACGCGAUGGGCACCUCCCACGAACGUGAUGGUGGGCCAGGGGAGCCAAUCACGAAAGAAUACCAAGUACACCUUCUGUGGUAUAAAGUUCAAAACUGGGCAGAACCAGUCUAUGCGGUUUGAAGCUAUCAUAUAUCAUAUCAUAUCAUAUCAUAUCAUAUCAUAUCAUAUCAUAUCAUAUCAUACAUAUCACACAUUCGUAUCCUACAUACAAAAAUGUGUACAACUGACUUGGGGGUAAAGCCUGCAAGGGGAAUUAGGGAGACACUGGGUGCGGGUAAGUCCUGAUUCUUGAUCUGGGUGCUGAUUACAUGGGUGUGUUUCCUUUAUCAUGAAAAUGCACCAAAUUGCGCACCUAUGAUUUAUGUCCUUUUCUGAUCCUUGAAUAAACACUUUACCAAAAGCUUUGUAUACACUAUGUCCUUCAGCCAAUUUAGAGCACACGCUCCCAAAUAAAGCCCUUUGUCCUCAGGAAGGCAUCUUCCCUAGUGUUUUUCCUCUCGAUAUGAGAGCAGUUGAGGAGGGUUCUGUAGGGUUGUCCUUCUCUGCAGGCUCCCACUGGUCUGGGUUGAGGGACAGCUCAUCUGACCCAUCUUUGGGUAUUGGCUCUUGGUACCGCAUCCCUGCUCAAUUGUCUGUGGCUUGUGUCACCUGUAGUCUGUUUUCUCAACAUGGGCAACACCCUGGAAUUUCUUCCGGAGAGAUGGGUUCAGCCCCACCAGCAUGUGGUGUCCCUAGAGUCACGCAGUGCAUAACCUACACAAUGGUCCAUGGCAGCCCUGAUCCUCAUCUCACUUCCCGGGGGUCCUGUGGAGCCUGUGAGACCUAGACAUGCUCUCCAUUUGCCCCCACCUCACCUCUGCCUUCGCCUACUGUUACCGCUGGGCCUGCUUCCCCCUUCUCUAUGCCUCACAGAGACUUGAAGGUAGGCAUUCCCUGGAUGUCUUCUGGAACGGGCAGGUGUGGGGGGAGCCAGGAUGAGGAGGACGAUGGCUGUGAAGUUGGUUCCGUCCUUCUGGGGGAAGCCAAGGGGCUGAGAACAGCAGGGGUAAGGGACAGAGGGACAGAGGGAGAGAGUCAUGAGUCUUAGCUCCUGUUUCCCCUGAGGCCUGGCAGGUCCCACCUCCUGGGCCUGAAUUACUUAAUCCAGAAAAUCCCCCUUUUGGCCCAGGCUGGUUUGAAAUAGCUUUAUGCCCUCAACAAUCAAAAAAGUCCUGACUCAUACAUCCAUUAGUGUUUUUUUCCCCCCAAAAAAGCAGACUUCCUCCAAAGGUGAAUUCAGACGUCUGGCUCCAGGAAUGCAGAAGCAUUUGUUCAAGAUUUAACAGAGUGAGUCGGGUUGGGCCACCUCUUUGCCCACUUCCCUUCUGACCAUCCAGGUCAGGGGUUAAGCCAGGCUCAGCCUCAGCCCGAGUUCCCCGAUCCACAAAUGUUAAGACAGGGAAUCCAGCUGGUGUUCAACGAAUAUGCGUUGGCUCAAUGAACAGCUCGAAUGAACGUGACAUAGAAAUACCGGGAAAUCUACUCACCGACCCAGGAUUUAUCGUCUUAGGCGCUGCUUGAUCUUACGGUGAUGAUGAAGCGUUUCUGGGAAUAUGGGGCUGACAAAAAUUCAGGCAUUGGUGGGAAUGUGGAUUAAACCGUUUUGACGGCAGAGGCAGAUCUAGUUUGCAAUAUUUCCCCAUGGUUACAGCUGUGGAUCUUGAUGACCUGACUGUUGGCAGAAGCGCAGUCUUUCCAAGAGCCGCUGCGAGAGUCUUUUCGGGAAGGCCGUGUCAAGAAGCCACAAGGACGUGCCACCACAGGAAGUGACGUGCCCCGUGGAAACAUGCAACAGACAUCAGUGGAGGAAGUCACGUCUCUGGAGUGAUGACGGUUAUGGGAACACGUGGAGAUGGUUCUAGAAAGCAGGAGGCAACUCUGCCUGCCUCCAGAGACAGGCUUGUGCCAAUCAGCAUGGGCCAGGAGGCAGAGGCAAGACUCUCCAAGGCAGAGGAAGGUGGCUACAGUGUGAAUCAAAGAGGCCAUUUCUCUGCUCUGAGUUUGGAAGCAGUCUUAACAUCUCAUACAAGACGCUGGUCUUGCAAGUCAGACUUUUCAGAGAGAGAAAGGGUUUUCUUAAAACUCCCAAGGCUGGAGUUUUCACACAUCAAAAGAUCAAAGCUCAGAAAAGUUGGGCGAUCGUUUGGUGAAUCAUAGAGGAGGGCAGAAUGCAGAUAGGACAAAAGGGAAGUUUCUACCUCACAGGAAGAAGAACAGGUAUCUUGUGACUUGGGGAAAGAAAUGAGAAAUCGGGCAAGAAAAGGCAAGCGGGGUCAAGUUCUGAGUGUGCUGGUUCCCCCCACUCUACCCAUUGGGAUCAAACCCCAGUAGGGAAGGGAAGGUAGAAACACCCAGUAGUUUUAAGCACUCUGAGAACAUCAGGGCUUGUGCCCCCCAGUCCCUGAGUGUAGCCUAAGGAGUCUUCUCUUUCAGAGGAGCCCUGGGGUCAGCCUGACAUUGAAUCCAUCAUGGCGCCCAAGUCAUGGAGUAGAAAUGGUUGAGAGAGGUGCUUGGAAUGCUGGGUGUGAGAUUAGAAUCCCUGGUUCAUGACAUACGGUCCGGCACGAAAUGUGGAGGAGGUCCAGAAGUUCCUGUGUGCCACAGGAAGACCCAAAAAGUAGCUGGGGUGCUACCUGGUGAGUUCACUAGGUUGUCACCAUGGCAAAUGGCAGAGUGACCAAAGCUGAAGGAUGGACUUCUCAAACUGGGGAUCAAAUGGGGAUCAGGCCUCGGGGAAGCAGGAGCCUCAGGGAGAACCAGGUAAGACCACGGCAGCCGGCCAGAGCCUCCAACCUGCAAGCAUCAUAUAACUGAGUCAGAAGAUCUGAAAAUAAGGAACUUUCCCUUGCAAGAAGUCGCCAUCUUGGAAUGGCGAAAGGAAAAACUUUGUAGUUAUGGAGAAACCCAAAGAUGAAGUAAUUAUCCAAAAGGAGAUAUCCACCAGGAGGCUCUGAGAUACCAUAAUGGCAAGAACAAGAAUCUUUUGCCUGCGGUGAUAUGGGGCCUCUGGAGCUGAUUUGGAUUUUGUUGGCAGUCACAUUACGUGCACUUGGGCAAACUCUACCUCCACAGAUACUCAUGACUUCUUUAGUAAGAUACUUCAUUUUUUUUCCAGUUGUAAUGGUGAUAGGGUCCUAUUCUAGAGAGUUUGGGGAACAACACUGUAAAGAAGAAGGAAAUAAAUGUCAACCCGUCAUGUCACAGAACAGAGAUAACCACUGCUACCAUCGUGGUUUAUUUCCUUCCUGUCGGUUUCUAUGUGUGUUGUGUGUGUGCGUUAUUGUGACUGCACAUUUGUACAUCUUGUAUGUGGACAGGAUUCUUUAACGCAUGAGGCGCUUUCGCUUGUGGGAAGGAAUGCCCACCACUUUGUUACUUUAUUAUCUUCAAACCAUGAACAAUUCCAAAUGUCCGCAGUAGUCAUUACCACUGAAAUGGAAAUGUAAGAAAUUAACAAAUUUGAUUUCCCCCAAUGCUUAAACAUUGAAGUAUGACCAAUUACACUUCCCUAGACAUUUGAUGACAAAUCUCCAAUACGUCAAAUGAGCUCAUGUGCUUUUAAGUGCCUUAAAAUGGGGACAGAACAUGACCACAAUUUGACAAGGAUUUCUGUAUGGAACGGUGCUUAUACUCACACACUUAACAAAGGUGCCAAGACCGUGGAUUUAUAGCCUCUCUUCAUCAUCAUCUUCUUCCCGUGUUUAUCUCUCCCCAGGGGCACAACUUUCCUUCCCUCAGCCUACAGAGCUGGGUGACUGUGAUGGGACAAAGGACAACGGGUCAGGAACUUUUCAGAUUACUGAUGCCGACAGCUCUGUUAUGGUUUGAUUUAUUGUAGACCUUGUCUUUGCCCCCAGAAUGACACUUGCUCUGGUAUGUUUCACUCCCUAGCCUGACCUGUUAUGAUCCUGUUUUGCAAUUGUCCAGGGGAAGGGUGGUUGGUAGGGGGUGUUGCUGGCCUGAUUUAGAUAAAAAUCUGUCACACUGGGAGCGCCUGGGUGGCUCAGUCGGUUGGGCGACCGACUCCGGCUCCGGUCAUGAUCCAACAGGUCGUGAGUUUGAGCCCCGCGUCAGGGUCUGUGCUGAAAGC